GUGAAUCAUCGAAUCUUUGAACGCAAAUUGCACUCUCCUCGGAGAGUAUGCCUGUUUGAGGGUCAGCCUAUAAAAAAUCGACAUCGUUGCUGUUUCGCGGUGGCGUUCGUCGGAAAUUGGGUGAUCUUAAAUCCUUUUGGGUUUUAAGCGAUUUAAAAUUUUCUUUUCGUCUGCAUCGACGUUUCUAUGAUUUUUUUCUUUACACGAUUAAGGUAUCGAUU
rnacentral:misc_RNA from 1 species